rnacentral:rRNA from 1 species
GGUUGCGAUCAUACCAGCACUAAUGCACCGGAUCCCAUCAGAACUCCGCAGUUAAGCGUGCUUGGGCGAGAGUAGUACUAGGAUGAGUGACCCCCUUUGAAGUCCUCGUGUUGCAACCC